GACGAACGCUGGCGGCGUGCUUAACACAUGCAAGUCGAACGGUGAUGCGGAGCUUGCUCCGCGGAUCAGUGGCGAACGGGUGAGUAACACGUGAGUAACCUGCCCUCGACUCUGGGAUAAGCGUUGGAAACGACGUCUAAUACCGGAUACGACCUCAGAAGGCAUCUUCUUUGGUGGAAAGAACUUCGGUCGAGGAUGGACUCGCGGCCUAUCAGCUUGUUGGUGAGGUAAUGGCUCACCAAGGCGACGACGGGUAGCCGGCCUGAGAGGGUGACCGGCCACACUGGGACUGAGACACGGCCCAGACUCCUACGGGAGGCAGCAGUGGGGAAUAUUGCACAAUGGGCGCAAGCCUGAUGCAGCAACGCCGCGUGAGGGAUGACGGCCUUCGGGUUGUAAACCUCUUUUGGCAGGGAAGAAGCGAAAGUGACGGUACCUACAGAAAAAGCACCGGCUAACUACGUGCCAGCAGCCGCAGUAA
rnacentral:rRNA from 1 species